UGAUGUCGAUGAUGAUGAUGAUGGCGAUGAUGAUGAUGAUGAUAAUGAUGGGUAUCAUUACCAUUAUCAGCAUCGCAACCACCACCACCACCACCACCACCGUACACAUCAUCAUCAUCAUCAUCAUCAUCAUCAUCAUCAGAG
rnacentral:pre_miRNA from 1 species